GCAGUCGUGGCUGAGUGGUUAAGGCGAUGGACUAGAAAACCAUUGGGGGUUUCGCUGUGCAGGUUCGAGUCCUGCUGACUACG